rnacentral:rRNA from 1 species
UACGGAGGGUGCGAGCGUUGUUCGGAAUCAUUGGGCGUAAAGGGCGUGUAGGUGGUCUGUUAAGUCAUGUGUGAAAGCCCUCAGCUUAACUGGGGAAGUGCGCAUGAAACUGACAGGCUAGAGUACCGAAGAGGAAGGUGGAAUUCCGGGUGUAGUGGUGGAAUGCGUAGAGAUCCGGAGGAACACCAGCGGCGAAGGCGGCGUCCUGGACUGGUACUGACGCUCAGGAGCGAAAGCGUGGGGAGCGAUCCGG